rnacentral:rRNA from 1 species
UACGUAGGGUGCGAGCGUUAAUCGGAAUUACUGGGCGUAAAGUGUGCGCAGGCGGCCGAGCAAGUCGAGUGUGAAAGCCCCGAGCUUAACUUGGGAACUGCGCUCGAAACUACUUGGCUAGAGUGUGGCAGAGGGAGGUGGAAUUCCACGUGUAGCGGUGAAAUGCGUAGAGAUGUGGAGGAACACCGAUGGCGAAGGCAGCCUCCUGGGCCAACACUGACGCUGAGGAGCGAAAGCGUGGGGAGCGAACAGG